UCAACAUUAAAAAGAAAAAAAAGUGUAAAAUGACAAAAGUAAUCUGAUUUUAAAGCAGAAAUCUGAAUGUCUUUUGAUGCAGUUGUAUGGUAGUUGUUGAGUCAUGCCCUGAAUUGCUGAUUCAGCACCUGUGGAAAGGACCCGGUCAGCCCUGGGAGCACAGGUGAAGGCAAUUCAUCUGUGUGAUUGGAAGAGGUGGAGCCUGGCUGCACCUCUCUUAGACAUCAUUUAAGGGCUGACUGCUACUGUGGUAAGACCUCUAGUUGGAGAUCCUUCCCUUGUGAUGUUUUCCUCGUGAGCCUAACUCUUCUGAGACAGGAAGGAUGAAUACUGUGCCUCUACUGGAUUCCAUCUGGAUGUCAUGUUCUCCUGAAAAUCAAUAGUUUUGUACUAAAAGAUCAACCACAAACCAAACCCAAGGAAUAUUAUCUGGCAAAUGCUCCUUUGAAGGCAUUACUAUCCAACCAUGAUCAAACCUGACGCUGGGUUUAUGUUUUUGAGGAAGUUACAGGCCAGAAUUACCUGCCUAAACCAAAGCAGAAGGGAGUAAGGAGAGAGGCACAGGUAAGUGAAGUGACUUGCAUGAUGAUCUGGCUGAGAACCCCCAAUAGAAAUAGAGGAGUAUCCUGCAUAUGUAUUUUGAUAUGUGGCACUUAUUUUGUCGACUGUUUCUCAUUCAGAACAGUUCUUCCUCAUUCGCAUGUCAUUUUACAAUGCUGAUAGACUUCUUAAGUGACAAGAAUUGCAUCAGCCUGUAGGUUCAGCAGUAGUUCAGCUAAACAGAUAGACGUUUCUUCAUUCAGAAUGACAUUUGUUUGGAUGGCAUGUGGUUUGAGUGCAUGUUAUUCAUACUCAAUUACGGUGGAAUAGAUAAAGAGUUGAAAGACACAGACACACCUAUGUUUCUUAAUGAAGAGCCGUUGUGUCAUGCUUUCAGAGUCUGAAGUGCCAUCCAAGUGAAUUAAUUAUAACAAUAUGUUUUCCAAUUCCACCUGGCAAUUAUUCCCUUUUCAGAAUAGUCAACUUUGGUCUUGUUUACAGAUUUUGAACAGACUUUGCAACAGAUCCAUAACCAUGUCACCAUUUCACUGUCUAUUCAAAGGAAUAGGAAGACAGCUGUGCAGCUGGGCAGGUGACAGCAGCACUGAGACUGAAGGGAUGUCACAGUGUCUUCCCCUGACUGAGGGCAGGUCCACUCUCUGACUCAGAUCGUAUUUCCAUGGAUGUGGGUAAGGAAUGAGGUUCCUAGAUUAUUCUGUUUCUCAGUCUUUCCAGUCCUGAAGUCUUUGUCUAUAGCAUGAGUCUACUUCAUGGAAGUAAUAGUUUAGCAUUUUUCCACAUAGCAUUUUGAUCCACUCAGGCUGGAAUCUAUACAGCAAAAAGAGUUAAAUGUGUCUUAUGUCUGCCAAUGUGGAUGUAUGGAGAUAGUAACACCAUUUCUUCUUAGACUGAAUUCCUUUUUUUUUUUUUUUCUUUUAACUCUUAACAGUUUUUUGUAAUGUUUGCUGCUGUGAGAGCUGUCUUCAAAGUGCAGAUGAGUUUCACCCAUGCUGCCAGCGUGGCUUUAUCCUCAGCUCCCUUUGAAUUACAUGCUUGUCACUCUGAUAAUAAUUUUCUGGCCUCUGAAUCACAACAUUAAAGCAACUCUGUCUGCUUGGACUCUUAAUGUUAAUAUCAUCUAUACUUAGCUUCUACUAUAAGCCUAAAUAAAGUAAGAUAUAACAAUCAUUAACACACUUUUCCAUUAGCAGCAUAAUUAAUCCUACAAAUACCUGGUAUAAAACUUGAUUUAUUCAAGACAAGUUCAAUGUAUGAAUAAACAGGAUCUGGAUUUACGUCACAUUACACCAAGCUUGAAAUUGGCUCUUAUAUUUCUUUAAUGUCCAACAUAGUUAAACUAAUGAUGGCCUUGCAUCACAUGUUAGAUGGAUAUGCGGGUAUAUGUGUAUAUGGGUGAAACAAAAUUAUUUCUAUCGAAAGAUACUGCACUGUAUUUUUCAAGAGCACUGAAGAACUGCAGGUUGAGGAGGGAAUUUUCUUUAAUUGAAACAUGUUAGGUGUCUCAUGGCUGUUCAGUCAAUGAAUCCAUCAUGAUAGUACUGUCUCCAGGGAAACUUGGAAAGUUAUUACCUAGAAACUCAAUGAAGAUCAAUUAUGUCCUACCACCUGCACACUGAGCAAUACAUUUGAAGAAUGGCAACUGCAUGAAAUGGAAACAGAGUGGCAAAGGAGGUUUUUUUCCUGCCUUAGUAUAUCAGUCAUAGUAAGCAUCUUGUUCUCUCUGUGUCCUAUCUGAUGAAUUACAAUUGGAAAGUGCUUUCAGCACCAGGAAAAAGUUUGUCUUGCUACAAUGCACCCCUUUGCUGUAGGGUGACAAAGUAUCUUUACAACAGUUGGGUCUUUGUGCCUGGGUACCACCAAGAGCAAGCUCAAAGCAAAGAAGGUCCCCCAGUAGAGAAGGCUAAACCCCAGAGACUUUCUUGGAUGGGCCAGCAAAAAGCUGUCUUAGGUUUGCUUAAUCAGCAAAUGCUGCUAAUUGCCAGCAAUGGGGAGAUAUAGAACCCCCCUUCAGCACAAUAAAGGGAGUUUUUAAAAGGUGUGAGAGUUGCAAGAACUGCUGCAGAAGUGAUUCCUGUAAUGAUUCCUAGAUUUAAUUAUUAUUAAUGACUAUACAGUGCUCAGAGCCAUUAUUAUGGCUCUUUAUUAAAUGCACAGCAUGCACUUUUUUUUUUGUAUCCUGGAAUUACGAAUUCUAAUGGCUGUUCACUACUAGAAGGCUGCAUCCUUCAUAAAAAUUUGAAUUGUGGUGGUUAAUUCUGCUGAGCUUAUCUCAUUUCUGGAUUUUCAUAUCAAUCUUAAUUAACUACUGUGGAAUUGAAAGCAAAUAAGAG
rnacentral:lncRNA from 1 species